rnacentral:lncRNA from 1 species
AAUAGCUCCGCCAUAUUGAAAAAGACGGACCUAUUGUUUUCCGUGAGCCACAUUCGGGUUCGGUUGGGCUGGGGCUCACGGAGCCACCAAGUUGACUGAGCUUUCCCUCACUGGAGGCGGCAGUCUCAGCCCACGGGUGCUGUUGUCGGUGCUGGGAGUUGAGAUUGACUCCGCCGAAAACACUAGGCAUGGAACAAGGAAAAGUGAAGCCAUAGGUGCUGGAGGACUCGGAAGUGACGUAGGCAGAAAGCGCCAUCUGAGUCGUUAGAGCUCCGUUUUCAGCGCUAGGAGGAGAGAGGUAAGCGGGUGGCAGCCUGCGAAGGAGGAAGGGCCCGCGGUCACUUCUGUGACGAGGAAUGCGCCGAAGAAAGUCCUGCAGCCGAGUUUAGUAUCUCAUUACUCAUAUGGUGACUGAAUCCUGUCUUGGCCUUCUGCCUAGCGCCUGGGGUUUGGGGAUAUCCCUGUGAAAUGUAGUGAAUAGCCACCCACACCUCUUUGGCCAAGAACAAAGUUUGAGAGAGGAUAGGACUAGUGUGUGGGAAGAAUGAAAGCCUGAAGUAUUUGCAGUUGGUGUUAAAAAGGGCUCAGCCCACAGUCCUUUGGUACUGGAGUAUGGUGAUGAUUAUGAUCCCAGAUAAUCACAGUAUUGUUGUCCAAGAAAGAGCAAUUGGUAUGAUAUAACAAGUAUGAUGUCCUAAUGUAAUUCAGUUAGAAGUAACAAUAUCUUCAAGCAUAGCCUAGAGACUGACAAACUGCUAAUGGCUAAUUUGGUACUUUUAACUAUAGGAGGAAGAUCUGUAGUUAUGUAAUAACAUUCAGCAUAAACCAGCAGCUUAUAAGCAGUGAGUUUCUCCUUGGUAGUGAUUUUACUUGGGGGAAAGGAUGGAUUUAAGAGGGAUAUGGGACAAAACAGUGCUAACUGAAGAGAAAUACAGUAGAACCAGUGCUGAAGGACAGAAGAUAAUCACCCAAGCUUUAGGAAACUGUAGAAGAGGACAGGAGAGAAAGGAGAAAGCAGAAGAAUAUCUAAGCAAACCAGAAAGACAUAGCACCAGUGUUCAUUCACAUGAAAAUAUCAGAAAAUCAGGAAAGACAGUAGAGGAAAAAGAGAAAAAGAAUAGGCAAAAAGAAGAAACAAGUCAAAACUCAACCCUGCCCCCCCCCAAAAAAAACCAGAAAAAGGAAAAAGAUACAAACUGAUAAAGAAUGAAAGAAGGGGGGGAAAAUUCCUCUUGUGCCCAAAGUUCUGGGAUAGCGCGCAAGUCAGAGCCCUAAUCUCUGCCUUGUAACCCUGCCAAGUUUGCAGUAAGUGUAGUGCUGGGUGCAGAGGCUGGUCUUGGCCUCCGGAUGUGGGGCUGUCACCAGUGUUUCACUAGCAUCUUUUUGGAUGGACCGCCUACAUCUCCAUACCUUGUUUGUCUGUCCAUUGUUCUUUCAG